CUCAUCUUCUGGAGCAGUGCAUCAUGACAUGUGAUGGCUGGAGGAGGCGUCAGCCACUGGAGGGUUGGCUUCUCACUGAUGUUAGGAAAAGUUACCGACAACCCUCCACCUCCCCACCACCAUCACCAGCUAAGACCCAUCACUGGAACUCCUUUCUCCCAGCGCGGGGGAUUCGAUUCCAGCUGACCCUCAUAGGACUACCUGCCAAAACAGCAUCUGGCUCCGAGCUCGGAGAUGAGGCCAUUCCCCAAACUAUUUCAUAUUGCAUUUUGCCUCUAUUGUUCAUUCAGUUAAUGAACGAUAAAGCCUUAAACUCGAUUGAACAUAUCAUGUUUAGUCCAGUUAACCCACCUCUAUAAAGAGGAAUAUUAGACUGUAUAUUAAUGUAUUGUCAUCUCCAUCCAUUUUGUUGUGGCUUAUGUAUUUUAGGAACAUGUAUAUUUAGCAUUUUACUGAAACAUUGGGAUAUGUAAAAAUAAGACUAUUUCUCCUAGAAUGAAAACAAUAAAUGCAUUUUGCAAUCAAAGCCAUGGUAACUUUAAUUCAGCUUUCAAAACAUUGGCCAUGAGUAAACCCCUUGUUCAAAAUGCAGUUUCAGGUAGGUGUUUUGGGGGGCGGUGUAGACAAUAGUUAGGAAAUAUAAUCUGACAACUCCUGCAUUGUGGCUUUUAUGAGAACCAUGGCAGUCCAGUGAAUGAGUUGGGCUGUCAGUCACAGUGCACAUGACCAGGUGUGAACAUUUUUUCCUUUUCUUUUUUCCGCCUCAGGUCACUCUGUGCUCUUAAAUUACAUGUUCCUUUUGUUAUAGGCAUAAAUGCAUUGUGUGUGCCACUUCCUCAAUGGUUCCCACUUUAGUCAGUGCAAGUUCUCUUGUUUAAGCAAAUGUAGGUCAAUUUGCUCAAAUUUGAUUGUGAAUUGUGUUUUCUGCUAUGUGCAACUCCUUCAUAUCAGAAUUUAGCUCAAUUCUGAUUAUGAUGAAAAAGUGAUUAUGAUAACUUUCUAGUGAGAAUUUAAAGGUUUUAAAUGUUUUUUGUUGUUGUUUUUUUACCUGCCCAGCAACUGUGAAUUGGGCCUAGUUUUUGUUUUAUAAAACUACAGCACACUGAUGUGAAAACUGAAAUGUUGAUUUAUUUAUGUGCACUAUCCCAGUCCCCAUCAACUAAAUUGCAUAAAUAUGUUUCAUAGUUUCCAUAUCCCUCUU
rnacentral:lncRNA from 1 species